CAGCUGUGGGCUCCUGGUGGGCAGCUCUGCAGUGUGGCCUGCCUGGCAGUGGUAUCCUGCCCUCCGCAAAGGGCUGGGAGUCAGGGAAACGCGGCCUGGGAAGGCAGCCAGACAUGUGUUUUCCUAGCACAGUGCCUUGGCCAACUUCGAAAACUGCCAACUGCAACUUGAGGACUGUACAUUUUGAGCUCUUGUUCCACCCACAUUUACCAAUGCCUCCUCCCCAAAGGAGUCCUUUUUUAUUCCUUAGGAUUAGAGUGAAUGCAUCCCCGUGUCCACCUACAGAAAGUACAUGUAGGGUUAAGAACCUCCCUGGGGGAAAUGUAAAGCCGAAGAGACAAGAGACGGGCAAGGUUUAUAAGAUUCCUUUAAGCUUCCCAGACUAUUACAGCACUUGUCACACUGGACUCCAUUUUUUGUGGGUGGGUGGGUGGUGUUUGUUGGUUGAUCUAUUACAUUUGAUCUUGAGCUCUUUGGGGCAAAGUCUGUCUGUGUCUUAAUCACAUUUGUAUGCUCGGAUUCUAGCACAGUACCUGGAACAAAAAUAGGUGUUCAGCAGAGGUUGUAAAGAGGAGUCGACCAAUGAAGGCCUUCUCUUGCUCUCGCCCAUGCCCCGUCUCCAUUGCCAAGUGGAGUUGCCAGGAUCCAACAUCAGCUUCCUUUGGGGUGCGCUUGCUUUGUGGACCUGGGCCAUCGGCCAGAAAUGCAGAACACAACUCUGUGGGCUUUCCUGUCACAGCAAUGCAGGUGUUCCCAGUGAGAACCCCCAGGAAUGCCCAUGCUAGGCUGGGAAGCCGCCAUCUUAAUUCUUUGUGUUUCACUAAUUCCCAGUGUAUUUGUACAAAAGAAGAUAAUUGCCUUGGCCCCACCUGGCAGUGGCAGUAAGUCUGAAUGUCCGUGGAAGGAAGUGUGUUGUAGAAAUCGUGAAGCCCCAGGAGGGUUUUUAAAAAAUUGUUUUGAAGAAACACCAUUUCUUUUUUGUAACUCCAAACCUUUAGAAGAUGAAUGACAUAAUUGAGGCCUGUGUCACAUGUGCUAAGAAGGACUGAUGGAUGGGUAACCAUUCGAAUGAUAAGGAAAUGUUUCUGAUAGAUCCAUAUGGGACAUAGGGCAUGUAAAACAGAUUUUCUUUGCACUCUCUGCUUUGAUCCUGAUGCUUUUAUUGAAAAUCUGUUAGAAAGGGGACAUUCUGAGGUGUCAUAUCAGAUUGGAGAGAGGCCUGGAGUUGGAGUUGUAAGGCUUGGGCUGGGAUUGUCAUGAUCACUGGGUAGAGAAUGUGUCCCAAGCCUUGGAGCCUUGGUUUGCUCUCUGUAAAAGCAGAGGAAUGUCUCAAAGGUUGUUGUGAGAGCAGAAUAAAUAAGGCUCAGGAAAGGUUCCCUAAAGCAUUCAUUAUUUUAUUUUAUUGCCAAUCAGAAGCCAUUUAUAUCUUCUUUCUCCAUGUCAAGGUGAAAUUGAGAUGGUGCCGACUACUUGCCUACUUUUCUUUUCUUUCCCUUUGUGAGUCCUAGAGGCUGAUGUGUUCCCCCCUGGUCUGUCAUGCCUGAAGUCUUGUCCUCCCCCAGCACCCCAAGAGCUGUAGGUGCACCCUCUUCGCUCUGAUUCCAUGCAGGGUCUUUGAACACUUGUGUGUGCCUCGCUAUUGUGUAACGGGUGGGUGCAAUGUCCUGCUGCUGUCACUAUAGAUAGAUGGAUUCAAAUGUUGUGCUUACAAAGGAAUUAGAGUCGUGCAAGCCAAAUCCAAGCCUGAACAAGAUUUGAUGUUGGAUGAAUGGUACAGGACGUGCGCUUUCAAAAUUUGGCUUGAGUUUGUACAGAAUGGUCAUUUGAACUUUGUUUCCAUGUAUCCAUGUGGAACAUGAGAACAGCAUUUUAAUCUACCCUACCACAUAGGAAUGCCA
rnacentral:lncRNA from 1 species